rnacentral:rRNA from 1 species
AUUGAACGCUGGCGGCAGGCCUAACACAUGCAAGUCGAACGAGUGGCGGACGGGUGAGUAAUGUCUGGGAAACUGCAUGAUGGAGGGGGAUAACUACUGGGAACGGUAGCUAAUACCGCAUACCAUCGGAUGUGCCGAGAUGGGAUUAGCUAGUUGGUGGGGUAACGGCUCACCUAGGCGACGAUCCCUAGCGGGUCUGAGAGGAUGACCAGCCACACUGGAACAGAGACACGGUCCCGACUCCCACGGGAGGUAGCAGUGGGAAAGAUUGCACAAGGGGCGCAAGCCUGAUGCAUCCAUGUCGCGUGUAUGAAGCAGGCCUUCGGGUUGUAAAGUACUUCCAGCGGGGAGGCGUUACCCGCAGAAGAAUCACCGGCUAACUCCGUGCCAGCAGCCGCGGUAAUAC